CCCCUCUCCGGAUCGCACCUGGAGAGUUUCCAGUACUCUAUCAGUUUCGGCCAAGAGAGGGAGAGUCAAGCAGAGGCCUACCCAUUCCAUUCCUAGCUUGGACAGUGGCUAGCGAGUGGAAGGCAAUCUGCUACGAGU